rnacentral:rRNA from 1 species
GAAACCAACCGGGAUUGCCUUAGUAACGGCGAGUGAAGCGGCAAAAGCUCAAAUUUGAAAUCUGGUACCUUCGGUGCCCGAGUUGUAAUUUGGAGAGGGCAACUUUGGGGCCGUUCCUUGUCUAUGUUCCUUGGAACAGGACGUCAUAGAGGGUGAGAAUCCCGUGUGGCGAGGAGUGCGGUUCUUUGUAAAGUGCCUUCGAAGAGUCGAGUUGUUUGGGAAUGCAGCUCUAAGUGGGUGGUAAAUUCCAUCUAAAGCUAAAUAUUGGCGAGAGACCGAUAGCGAACAAGUACAGUGAUGGAAAGAUGAAAAGAACUUUGAAAAGAGAGUGAAAAAGUACGUGAAAUUGUUGAAAGGGAAGGGCAUUUGAUCAGACAUGGUGUUUUGUGCCCUCUGCUCCUUGUGGGUAGGGGAAUCUCGCAUUUCACUGGGCCAGCAUCAGUUUUGGUGGCAGGAUAAAUCCAUAGGAAUGUAGCUUGCCUCGGUAAGUAUUAUAGCCUGUGGGAAUACUGCCAGCUGGGACUGAGGACUGCGACGUAAGUCAAGGAUGCUGGCAUAAU